rnacentral:lncRNA from 1 species
GCGAGACGGUACCCGCGCCCCACAGUCCACCCGCUCCUCGGAGUCCCCCCGCGCCCCGGAGUCCACCCGCGCCCCGGAGUCCACCCGCGCAGGUCCACUUCUCCAUCCCUGCUCUCGACCUCCGCCCCUGCGGUGGGGGAAGUUCCUGGGGCGGUGGCUGGGACCAGGCCGGGUUUUAGGCGGGCGCAGAUUUCCGGGCUAACUUUCCUCGCCGUCUCAGCGCGGGAAGGGGGAAAUGGGAAACCCGGGCCAGAGCAGCGGAGCUUCCCAGCCGCACACUUCCUCCCUCCAGCCGUUUGUCUCGGCAGGGGAGGGCCCAGGCAGCCAAGCCGGCAGGCCCACUGGUUAUCCGACCUUGUGCUCUGGCCGUGGGUGGAGACCUUACAUCCAGCUCAGAGCGCCUCCUCCCAUCCCCUGUGUCCUCUAGGCCUCCCCAGACUUUGCCUUUUAGCCUUCCAGUGAAACAAGUUCUGUAUCCAAGAUAUACAAUUAAGUGGACAAAGCAGAUUGCAGAAAGUCUUUUCGUAGCUCACAAGGGGACAUCAAAGAUGACAAAGAGGAGUGGAAGAAGACAGAGAGAAUCAAUGUGAGGAGCCUGGAACAGGGCUCUGAAUUGUCUUCCCACAGUGAAAUCACUUGUCUAUUGCUGAGCCAAGAAUUUGACUCUGAGCAUCUAGGAUGAGAAAGAAGAACUGGCACCUACGCCAUCUCUGCCCCUCGGGACUGACUAUUUUGGAUCUCACUCUGUUGCCCAGGCUGGAAUGCAGUGAUACGAUCAUGACUCACUGCAGCCUCAAACUCCUGGGUUCAAGUAACCCUCCCACCUCAGCUUUCUGAGUAACUGGGACUACAGUCUUCUAGUAAAAUUGAUGCUCCAAGAAGAUACACAACGUUGACCAUGUGGAUUCAGAUAUCUCCCGCUUGGAUCUCAGCCUGGAUCUUGUUGUUUGAGAAGCAUAGAUUAGCUACAGAAUGCCAUGUCAUACAUCCAAUAAAAUUCAACUCUGCAAGCAUGAGAGAGAAGAGGAAGGAAAAGAGAGAAUCUGAAGUGUGAGUGAUUCUGUUUACCAUUCCACAGAGCCCCAGCUCCUGAAAGCAGGUGGCCCCAGCCCUCCAGGAUUUGGAAGACUCAUUGUCUGUGUCUGGUACCGUGGAGCAUUUGGCCACAUAUCGUCUGUGCAUCUAGACAAGUCCUGGCAUGCAUCCAGCCAUAUCUUGCCCAUGCAUCUUCUUCACCAGAUGGCGGGACCACCCUCUGUACCUAUGAUGUGGCAAUGACUGCACAGAGUUGGAUCACUAGAGGGCAAUAUCGGCCAAGAGAAAGAAGAAUUCUUCACCACCGUUUCUAGGACUGGUGAAGGUGCUGUGCUGGAGAGAGCAUGUGGAGAGACACCACAGAGAGUGAUGUCCAAGGAUCCUCUGCUGUUCUAGCCUCCAGAUGUUUGGUACCAAAUGGAGAGUGAGUGAGGCUUCCAACCCCACCUUUGAGCCACCCCAGCUGAUCCCAGUAGAGCAGAGAUGAGCUGUCCCCACCAAGUCUUGCCCAGAUUGCAGAUCUGUGAACAAAUAAGAAUUUUUGCUUGAAGCCUCUAUGUUUUGGGGUACUUGGUCACGUAGCCCUAGGGCUAACUGAAGUAUAGUGAGAAGUGACAAGAUUCAAGGUUGUAUAGCUGCUUAGGGGAAGAACAAAGAAAGUACACUCUCCUUGCAUUCAAAGGAUAUUUCUUCAAUUUGCUUGCAGUGUGACCUUUGGCAAGCUACUGAACCUCUCUGUGCCUCAGUUUUCUCAUCUGUAUGAUAGGGAUGAAGAUGGUAUUUCUUCAGAAGGUAGUGAUGAGGAAUAAAUAUCUCAUUCUUGGCAUGUAGGAAAAAGCUAGUAAGUAGCUGGGUUGGGGUUUCAAUUCAGGCAGUCUAACCCUAGACUCUUUACUGGUAAGCUCAGGUCCAGAACAUUCCCACCAAUCCCUGAAAAGGAGGCCAGACGGCAAUAUCCCAGGUACUCCCAUUAUUUUCCCCCAUACGGCAUGAUUCUGAGUCCUCCUUGGCCGCCCUUCUCUGUUCACUGGGCCUUGAUACAUGAUUCUCUGAACUGAAGGCCGCACCAUCACUCCUCUCUGUUUAGUGCAGCCCGAGAUUACACUGGCUUUUUUGGCAGUCACAUCACAUUGUUGACUCAUUCUGAGCUGGCAGUCAAAAUCCUAAGUGUUUUUAUCACAUGUGCUAGCAUCAAGCUGCAUUCCUUCCCAUCUAGGAUUGGUGCAAUUGGAGUUUUAAAAAAUCCAACUGCAGAAUUGUUUAGUUUAUUAGAUUUUGCUCAUUGUGGUAGUGUGCCUAGGAAAGAAUCCAGAUGAGCUCCUCUCCAGGGUUCUCGGAGACACCCUGUAUCCUUUUAAUAUACCUUUCCUUUAUUUCUGUAGUCCAUUUGAGUGGCUUACUGGUACUCACAACACAAAAAGUAAGCCAUAGAGUGACUUCUGGGUGGUCCUUGCUCAGGAGGAAAAGAGGUGUGGCAGGGAUGCUGUGGUAGAGGGCAGAGAAAGCAAAUGGCAGGAGCGUGUGCCGGGUGCCACGUCUGAGCCGUGGCAGACCUUGCAGCUGAUCAUGACUCUCUUUUCUGCUGAGUCAGGAAAUGGCCUCUACUUUGAUUAGCUGCCACCUGAAUAGGACAGAGUUGAGGACUGAGGACAGAGACUGCUUUCGAAGUGGACCCUGGCAUAAUUAAUCAGGCUUCAAGCACAUCGGUUGUUCGGAUGGUUCCCAAUUCCCCCAAAUGUGCUGCCAUCUUACCCUCAUUUUCUCAGCUUGCCCACAAAGAUAAAAUGAUAUUUUUAUCAAGUCUCAUUUCUUGCUGAACUACAAGUUCUCUAAGUGGCCGCAUCACUUGAUCCUGCUACUCUGGCGAUACUAUGUACAGUGCUUGCUGAAGUGGUCACUCUGGUUGGUGGGUGCCACAGAAGGUGGGUGGCUCAGAGUGGACUGAAGAAAGUACCAGAGUCUGAUGGACCUCAUUUCUGCAGUCAGUGGUGAGGUGCUGGCUCCCAUGGUGGGGGGAUUUUCCCAGGUGCCUUAGCUCAGGAAACAUAUGGUGCUCAGUGGAAUGGACCCUGGUGUGUCUCCAGUGGUCUGCAUAGCUCCUGGGCAAUAUGGAAGGACAGUGCUGACUCAAGCAGAGCCUGAGCCAUCUCUAGACGCUUUCCCACCUUGUCCUUGAGUCCUACAAAUUAGGUCCUAAUUGGUCUGUAUUCUCCCCGCCCCCUUACUCUCCAGCCUAGGGACGUCUUUCCAUUCUGGGAAUAGGACGCCUUACCUUUACUCCACUCAUAUUCUCUCAAAUAUGUUGUAUGUGCACGAAGCCUUCCUAUUUGCCUAUGCUUAAGCUCUUGAAGCUCAAGGUUAAUCAUUAACUUCUUUUUUUUGCCACCCCUUUGCUUUCUUUUAUGUCAGCUCUUCCUUGAGGGAAUGAAGGCAGACUGCUGGGCUGAACACAAAAAGGGGAGCAGCCCGGGGUAAAAGGAAAUUCUAGAAUAAAGAGCACAUUGGUUAAUAGCUUAGAAAUGUUAUCCCCCUAGACGAGUAAUAGAAAGUUCCUCAAACUCGCCUCAGCAAAUUAUGGGAACUGAUUGUAAGAGGCAGCUUAGGGAAGCCAGGGGUGGAAAUGGCUGAUUGGACCGGAAGUGGCACAGGCGCCUUGGGGACGUGCUCUCACAGCUUCUCACUUUGGGUGCCACAGUCUCUCAUCUCUGGCUCCUCUGAAUGUCUACCUCAUCUCUUCUCUCUCUGGACUGGCUUUCACUGCAUUGGUGGACGUAUGACAUGAGGAUACCCAGCCCUGCCCAUGGCCCAAUUGCACCAAUUAGAAAAGCUGCCCCUUCAAGAAAUAUUGUAAUUGCCAUCUGCCAGGAGACUCAGUUAAAAACACACAAAUAAGUGAGGACCAUACAUGCUCAAUGGACUGCUGCUGCACGUUUGUGUGCAGUGAUGGCAAGUGGGACCCGGAACUCUGGCCUCUGCUUAUCCUCAGAAGUGGGCGGCAGAGAAGGAGGAACGUGCUUGAGUCGCAGUCCCCAAAAAGGGAGGAACUCAUUGGCCCAGCUUAGGCCUGGUGUCUGCCUACCUGUGGUUCAGUCAGCUGUGGUCGGUGGGCAGGACACACCUGAAGGAGCAUAUCUUGGCUGUGUGGGUUGGGCAGACAUCCCACAAUGCUCAUGUAGGGGGAUUCAUCUCAUUAACUCUGAGUGUUUCUUCGGCAUUCCCCCACUAUUUUUAACAUAUCAUUUACAAUAUUGAAUUAAUAAGACUGGGAAUGAAAGUUCUUUGACAGAACACACAUGGUAGUUACUUUUGGGACUAAUUGCUCUGCAGGUCGCCUCGUGCAUUACCGUCUGCUAUUUUUGCUUAAAUUAUAUGUAUCUGCUUUUAUGUCACUUCCUAGGUAAACCUUACUUCCCCCUAUAGGAAACAUGGUUCACUCAAACAAAGUAAAUAAAAGGGCUUUCCUGAAGGUGUGGGCAGAUUUAAGGGAAUCUGACAAGAAAAGUACGAGCUAAGAAGGUCUGGCAGCCACUCCCCUGCUAAGCUAGAACAGGCAGGAAGGGAGCACUUACUGGGGCCAGGUGGUGGUAGCUGUAGGGAUGUAGGACAGGGCAACUCAGGGGACCUGUGGCCUCAUGCAGAGGGAGGCAGCCAAUCUAUAGCCACCUAUCAGGGAGGGAGCUGGGCAAAUAAAUGUCUCCAUCUUGUUCUCCUCCUUCUUCUCUCCAAUCUCCUGCCAGUGCCUCCACUGGUUGAACCUAGCUGGGAGCCAGUGGAUCAAAGAUCCAGUGGACCAAAGGAUCCAUAAAUGUGAUCCUCCUGGGGGUAUAAAAAAGGAUAGAAAUAGGUGGAAAGUGGAUCUGGGAGUGGCUAAAUGGAAAAUAUCCAGGAUGUUCCAAAUUGCAUUCCUCUGCUAUAUGCCUUCCCAGACCAUUGCACUGCCCCAUCACAAUGCUCAUCCUAGUUUGUCAUAUCUGCUGAAGGAUUAGGCAUGCAGAGCAUAUGCCUCAUGGAAGUUAAGGACUGUAUCUGACUUGUCAUUGCUGUAUGCCCAGAACCUAUCCCUGCAUCUGAUUAUCAAUGAUGUGUAAUGGAGCUUGGAACGUGAAUGGGCACAUAUGUCUGAUGUCCUCACCUGACCAUUCUUUGGGAGCCCUUUGGGGAUAGUGAAUCUCCCAGUACCCUACUUGGGCACAAUAAGGACUAUUUAGUGAAAGAACAUUCACAAUUGAGUGAAUGGAUGAAUUCUAAGGGUGGAUCACUUUGAAAAUACCUGAAUGUCAAUCUCAUGGUACCAAGUUUAUAUCAGAAUUCAACCUCAAAUUAACUAACUUCCAUUCCAGAUCUGUUCCUUUCUUGGUGACAUGGCAGCAUAUACAUGCCUCAUUUUCUCCUGCCUUAUAUCCAUAUCCUCUUGGUCUGGUGGCACACCUUCCAUUUCUUCACAAGCAACCUGGGAUGAUUAGCUUAGGUCCCCAGCCCAGCCCUACUCAAUGGAUGAGCUUCAACUAAGAUGGGGACAAGGAGGCUCUCCUGGGAUUUUGCCUCUCAAAACCAUGGAUCAUGUGCCUCUCCUCUCCUUCCACUUUCUUUCUUUUUUUUUUUUUUUGGCUUAAAUUAAGCAGAGGUGCCAUUUUUUGCUUAUAUUCAAAGAACUCAUAUCCUCAGACACCAGGAGGGGAGUUCCAGACUUAUGAGGCUAUACAAUGGUAUGGUUAAGGUCUUGGGCAUUGCAGCUACAUUGCUUGGGCUUGGAUCCCAGUUCUGCCAUUUUUUGGCUAUGUGACCCUAGGCAAGUUACUUAUGUUCUCUGUGCCUCAGAUUUCUGAUCUUCAAAGUGGAAACAUUAGCUGAGAUAAAGCAUGCAAACACUCUUAAAACAGUUUCUAGUGCAUGGUGAACACGCAGUAUAUAUCACAGGGUCUUGACCAUCCAAGCAACUUGAGAAGAAAAAAAAAUGAUGGAAUUAUACUUCUUUAAACAAAAAAGAAAAAAAUCACAAAUCACAGAAUAAAUUGGAAU